rnacentral:rRNA from 3 species
AAAUUGAAGAGUUUGAUCAUGGCUCAGAUUGAACGCUGGCGGCAGGCCUAACACAUGCAAGUCGAACGGUAGCACAGAGGAGCUUGCUCCUUGGGUGACGAGUGGCGGACGGGUGAGUAAUGUCUGGGAAACUGCCCGAUGGAGGGGGAUAACUACUGGAAACGGUAGCUAAUACCGCAUAACGUCGCAAGACCAAAGAGGGGGACCUUCGGGCCUCUUGCCAUCGGAUGUGCCCAGAUGGGAUUAGCUAGUAGGUGGGGUAACGGCUCACCUAGGCGACGAUCCCUAGCUGGUCUGAGAGGAUGACCAGCCACACUGGAACUGAGACACGGUCCAGACUCCUACGGGAGGCAGCAGUGGGGAAUAUUGCACAAUGGGCGCAAGCCUGAUGCAGCCAUGCCGCGUGUAUGAAGAAGGCCUUCGGGUUGUAAAGUACUUUCAGCGA